CAAAAGGCCCGAAAAACCUACACAAAACCCUCCCGCUACACAAAACCCUUCCGCCACUCUCCAUUCAUUUCCUUCCCCUUAUUUUUCUCCAUUCUCUUAAUCUAAAUAAAAACCCUAAAUCUCGGCCAUGAAUCCCGCAUAGUUGCCAAAAUCUAAGGUGUUUUUCUAUUCCGGUUUGUUUCGCCUUCGAUUUGGUAGAUCCACAAGUGUUUUCAUCGGGAAUUCUGUUUAAUUUUUUGAUUUUGAAGCGCGAGUUCCAUGAUUUCAUCGGCAAAUCCAACAGUGGUGUGAUUCAAAUAUGGAACGUGAAGGAGAAGUGGUCUUAUAGCUUGUUGGUUUGAGCAACUCUCUUUGGAUGUUAUGCACAAUAAAGUCGACUGAGGAGAAGUCAUCUAAGCUUGAGACAUUCUUGGUAUCUAAGUUUCAUUUCAGCAUAUCUAAAUUUCAACAAGGUUGGGUGUUAUAUGCUAAUUGCCUUGGAAAAAAUACUUGUUUAAUUAUUAAUCAACAUUCGAAGUUCUGAUGCAGAUUUUCGUUAAUGAGUUUCUCUAUAGGGUUAUAUUUGGCUUGCUGGCUGAACCAGAUCCACAUCUUACCAAAAAAAUGCUAAGGAGAACCAUGGAAAUCUCCCUUCAUUUUGGGACCUAUUUCUCAAGACUCAUAGGCUAAAGGACUCAUACGAGUUAUGUUCACAACAAGCAAAAGAAAUUGAGGUAAUUUGCUGUUUGAGUUUUACUUCUUUCCUGUUUCAGUAUAUGUGAAUAUUAUUGACAUUAUAAAACAUGUUUAGCUUAUUAUCAUGCUUCUGUAAGUUCUGUUUUAGGAUAGUAUGCUUCUGUAACUUUUCAGAAGAGUAAGUUCUGUUUUCAGAAGAGUGAGUAGCAUGCUUCUGUAACUUUUGCUAAUUGCUUGCUAAGUUCUGUUUUGGGAUAGUAUGCUUCUGUAACUUUUGUUUGUUUGUUUGUGAGAGAUGCAAGAAAACAAGUGAAAAAGAAAUUAUUCUGUGAGAAUGUUGCUGGAAUUCAUUUAAUUUUUGGUGGUCCAUUCAUUCACGGUUUAGUUUGAAUCUGCAUAUGUUUAAUUUUUUUUACCUCCAUUCUAUGAAAACUGAGAAUGGAGUUUGAUAACUCCAGCUAAAUGAUAUGUUUGUACUUUUUAUAUUUGUGAGUUUUAAUUUUUUUUGUCAGGUUGUUGGAUUGACUUAUUUUUUUUUGUUAAAAUAUGUGUUUUUGACAAUAAAGUGUAAUAUAGUUGGUAAGAUGUGUUCCCUUUAAUUAAUAAGUCAGAACUUGGAAUCACAAUAGUCUACUGCUGGCCACAUAAAUGAAUGAUGAACCAUUAUUGUUUAAUCUCUCCUCCAAUGAAUGAUGAACCAUUAUGUGGCCAACAUAAUUUCUUGCAUCAGCUCAGUGCUAAAUUUAACGUUUGUUUGUUUGUUUGAAUGAGAGGGUUUUGGCAAGGGCUGAAGAGUUGUGUGCUGAAGGGGAAGAUCCAGAUUACGAUGCAAUCUUUCUCGAGCUUUUUGGGAGGGUUAAGAAAAGGAAACAGGUUCCUGGAGCUGGGCAAGUGACAAGCUUGUAUUUUCCAUUUGCUACAAGCUCAGCUGCGGGCUCUGCAUCUUCCGGCUCGUCAUGCCUCAGCACUGAGCAGGUUGAUGAGCUUCUCGAGCGACGAGUACAACCUUUGCCUCAAGAGAUCGAAGAAUUGCGGGAGCUAGUAAAAGUCCUCAGUCGGCAAGUUCAAGCAAGUUCAAGAGUCUAGAAGAAGUGGCUAGUAGUAUUUGAACUAAAAUUGUGGAAACUAGUAGUAUUAGAACUUAAUUUGUGAUUUGAUUGAAUUGAAGUGUGAAACAAUGUUUUGUAUCUAUGUUAAAUUUGAAUUUUCGUUA